CGGGACUGAGAAAGCGAUUAGCACACUACGCCCGUAGAAGCCCUGUAUCAGUGUCGAAGGACCCGGGUUCGAUUCCCGGCACCUCCACCA
rnacentral:tmRNA from 1 species